GGGCAAGUGGCACAGUGGUAGCGCGCACGCUUCGCAUCUUCUAAGAUUGUGUGAGGUCCAGGGUUCAAUCCCCUGCUUGUCCA